rnacentral:rRNA from 1 species
GCUAACGCAUUAAGUGCCCCGCCUGGGGAGUACGGCCGCAAGGCUAAAACUCAAAGGAAUUGACGGGGGCCCGCACAAGCGGCGGAGCAUGCGGAUUAAUUCGAUGCAACGCGAAGAACCUUACCAAGGCUUGACAUGAACCGGUAAUACCUGGAAACAGGUGCCCCGCUUGCGGUCGGUUUACAGGUGGUGCAUGGUUGUCGUCAGCUCGUGUCGUGAGAUGUUGGGUUAAGUCCCGCAACGAGCGCAACCCUCGUUCUAUGUUGCCAGCACGUGAUGGUGGGGACUCAUAGGAGACUGCCGGGGUCAACUCGGAGGAAGGUGGGGACGACGUCAAAUCAUCAUGCCCCUUAUGUCUUGGGCUUCACGCAUGCUACAAUGGCCGGUACAAAGGGUUGCGAUACUGUGAGGUGGAGCUAAUCCCAAAAAGCCGGUCUCAGUUCGGAUUGGGGUCUGCAACUCGACCCCAUGAAGUCGGAGUCGCUAGUAAUCGCAGAUCAGCAACGCUGCGGUGAAUACGUUCCCGGGCCUUGUACACACCGCCCGUCAAGUCACGAAAGUUGGUAACACCCGAAGCCGGUGGCCUAACCCCUUUGUGGGAGGGAGCUGUCGAAGGUGGGACUGGCGAUUGGGACUAAGUCGUAACAAGGUAGCCGUACCGGAAGGUGCGGCUG